UACGGAGGGUGCAAGCGUUAUCCGGAUUCACUGGGUUUAAAUGGUGCGUAGGCGGGUAUAUAAGUCAGUGGUGAAAGCUCCGGGCUUAACUUGGAAACUGCCAUUGAUACUGUAUAUCUUGAAUGUCGUUGAGGUUAGCGGAAUGUUGCAUGUAGCGGUGAAAUGCUUAGAUAUGUUACAGAACACCAAUUGUGAAGACAGCUAACUAAGCGAUGAUUGACGCUGAGGCACGAAAGCGUGGGGAGCAAACAGG
rnacentral:rRNA from 1 species